rnacentral:tRNA from 1 species
UCCCCAGUAGCUCAGUUGGUAAAGAAUCCACCUGCAAUGCAGGAGACCCAGGUUCAAUUCCUGGGUAGGGAA